AUGGAGGUUUCCACGUUACCCUGCUUGCUACUUGUGUCUGCAGCACUGGCACUCUGUUGUGCAGCUGCAGCAGCAGCACGGCCUGAAAGUGCAACAGCAAACCUUGACGCAGCCACAAUGGCCGCGCAAGAGCUUGACCGCGUCGCCUCGCUGCCGGGGGCGCCGAGCUACUCAUAUGCGUUCAAGCACUACUCCGGGUACGUCACGACCGAUGAGCGCCUCGGCAAGGCACUGUUCUAUUGGUUCUUCGAGGCUAUGGAGAAGCCUGACGAGAAGCCACUGGUCCUAUGGUUAAAUGGAGGACCCGGGUGUUCUUCUGUAGGGUUUGGGCAGGCGCAGGAGCUCGGGCCAUUUCUUGUGAAGAAAGAUGUGCCUGAGCUCGAGCUCAAUCCGUAUGCCUGGAACCAAGCUGCCAACUUGCUGUUCCUGGACUCUCCAGCGGGUGUUGGAUUUUCGUACACGAACACGUCUUUCGAAAUAGAUCCACCGGGAGACAAUUCCACGGCACACGGUUCAUACGCUUUCCUCGUCAGGUGGUUUCAAAGGUUCCCCCAGCACAAAACGAAAGAGUUCUACAUAGCUGGAGAGAGCUAUGCAGGACACUACAUUCCACAGUUAGCGAAUGUCAUCGUGGAGGAGAACAAGAAGGCCUCCAAAGAAAACUACAUAAACUUCAAAGGCAUCCUGAUCGGGAACGCGUACAUGGACGGGGACACAGACUUGCAGGGGAUCGUGGACUCGGCGUGGCACCACGCCAUCAUCUCCGACACGCUCUACAGCGCCUUCCUCAAGUCCUGCGACUUCAGCAUUGAGAUCCUGUCUCCGGAGUGCGACGCGGCACUGAGCGAGUUCUUUCUUCUCUACAAACUCAUAGACGUCUACAGCCUCUAG
rnacentral:rRNA from 1 species